GGGCAAUAGCAAAAAACAGUGUUGCAGAUGAAGAGACUGUCGUGCUUUUUGAAGAAUACCUAUCAAGCUUGACAGGUAUCAUAUGCAAACUCUUUUUGCCAGGAUUUGGAGGAACUUUUGUUCCCUGAGUUCAAUUCUCAGACUUCACAGACUGAGGAGGAAAUCUAAAAGCAAUAAAGCCAUGCAUUUUCUACUUAAGGACAAUUUAAAAUGCAACAGAAAGGCCACGGCAGCCUUUUUCACCAAAAAGC